rnacentral:tRNA from 1 species
GUCUUCGUGGUGUAGUGGUCAGCACGCUCGACGCGUAACCGAGAGGUCCGUGGUUCGAUUCCUGGCGAGGAGU